UUUGACGUUACCUACAGAAGAAGCACCGGCUAACUCCGUGCCAGCAGCCGCGGUAAUACGGAGGGUGCGAGCGUUAAUCGGAAUUACUGGGCGUAAAGCGCAUGCAGGCGGCCUGUUAAGUCAGAUGUGAAAGCCCGGGGCUUAACCUCGGAAUUGCAUUUGAAACUGGCAGGCUAGAGUCUUGUAGAGGGGGGUAGGAAUUUCAGGUGUAGCGGUGAAAUGCGUAGAGAUCUGAAGGAAUACCAGUGGCGAAGGCGGCCCCUGGACAAAGACUGACGCUCAGAUGCGAAAGCGUGGGGAGCAAACAGGAUUAGAUACCCUGGUAG
rnacentral:rRNA from 1 species